CUGAAACAGCACGAUGGCAAAUUCCACAUUUAUCUUGUUGGAGUUUUGAGGAAAUGAACACCAUUUCAUGACAGAGAUUGACUUUUCGACAGAAUUCUUCAGCUUGAACUGAGGAAACCUCCAGAAAGAAGAGAGGAGCAUAAUAGUCCACCAAAGUGAUGCACUGUUGCUUGAAAGAAGGCACUUGAGAACAGGCUACAUGAAGAACGUCAAUAAUUUCGGUCUGGGUCUUGUUUUCAGUUAGGUAAUCAAGUGCUUGGGAAGCAAAGUCCUCACACAAUGUGCAAACUUGAUUAUUCCUGGUAAUUCCAUUAGAAGCUUGAUCUUCCCUCUCUUGCUCAUGGUCUUUCACUUGUGUAGCUGCUAUAUCAGUGAUCACCAUACUUUUAUAAGAAAGCCUAGUGUCUGCCAUUUGUCUAGCAGCACAAGCCCA
rnacentral:misc_RNA from 1 species